AGUGAACGCUGGCGGUAGGCCUAACACAUGCAAGUCGAACGGCAGCACAGUAAGAGCUUGCUCUUACGGGUGGCGAGUGGCGGACGGGUGAGGAAUACAUCGGAAUCUACUUUUUCGUGGGGGAUAACGUAGGGAAACUUACGCUAAUACCGCAUACGACCUACGGGUGAAAGCAGUGGAGCUUCGGACCUUGCGCGACUGAAUGAGCCGAUGUCGGAUUAGCUAGUUGGCGAGGUAAAGGCCCACCAAGGCGACGAUCCGUAGCUGGUCUGAGAGGAUGAUCAGCCACACUGGAACUGAGACACGGUCCAGACUCCUACGGGAGGCAGCAGUGGGGAAUAUUCGACAAUGGGCGCAAGCCUGACCCAGCCAUGCCGCGUGGGUGAAGAAGGCCUUCGGGUUGUAAAGCCCUUUUGUUGGGAAAGAAAAGCAGCAGGUUAAUCCCCCGCUGUUCUGACGGUACCCAAAGAAUAAGCCCCGGCUAACUUCGUG
rnacentral:rRNA from 1 species